AGAGUUUGAUCCUGGCUCAGAUUGAACGCUGGCGGCAGGCCUAACACAUGCAAGUCGAGCGGAUGAAGAGAGCUUGCUCUCUGAUUCAGCGGCGGACGGGUGAGUAAUGCCUAGGAAUCUGCCUGGUAGUGGGGGACAACGUCUCGAAAGGGACGCUAAUACCGCAUACGUCCUACGGGAGAAAGCAGGGGACCUUCGGGCCUUGCGCUAUCAGAUGAGCCUAGGUCGGAUUAGCUAGUUGGUGAGGUAAUGGCUCACCAAGGCGACGAUCCGUAACUGGUCUGAGAGGAUGAUCAGUCACACUGGAACUGAGACACGGUCCAGACUCCUACGGGAGGCAGCAGUGGGGAAUAUUGGACAAUGGGCGAAAGCCUGAUCCAGCCAUGCCGCGUGUGUGAAGAAGGUCUUCGGAUUGUAAAGCACUUUAAGUUGGGAGGAAGAGCAGUAAAUUAAUACUUUGCUGUUUUGACGUUACCGACAGAAUAAGCACCGGCUAACUCUGUGCCAGCAGCCGCGGUAAU
rnacentral:rRNA from 1 species